UUUAGAGUUUGAUCCAUGGCUCAGGACGAACGUUGGCGGCGCGUCUAAGGCAUGCAAGUCGAACGGGAUUCAUGUUGUAGCAAUACGACGUGCGUCUAGUGGCAAACGGGUGCGUAACACAUUGGUAACCUGCCUCGAAGUCGGGCAUAACUCCGCGAAAGCGGAGCUAAUACCACGAUGGACAUGGGGGGACGCAAGUCAUUCCUAUGUAAAGAUUUAUCGCUUCGAGAGGGGCCUAUGGUCUAUCAGCUUGUUGGUGAGGUAACGGCUCACCGGGGCUCUGACGGAUAGGGGGUGUGAGAGCACGACCCCCCUCACUGGGACUGAGACACUGCCCAGACACCUACGGGUGGCUGCAGUCGAGAAUCUUCCCCAAUGGCCGAAAGGCUGAGGGAGCGACGCCGCGUGCAGGACGAAGGGCUUCGGGAAUAAACUGCUUUUCUCAGGGACGAACGAUGACGGACCUGAGGAAUAAGAGUGCA
rnacentral:rRNA from 1 species